AUUGAACGCUGGCGGCAGGCCUAACACAUGCAAGUCGAACGAGUGGCGGACGGGUGAGUACUGUCUGGGAAACUGACCGAUGGAGGGGGAUAACUAAUGGAAACGGUAGCUAAUACCGCAUACCAUCGGAUGUGCCUAGGUGGGAUUAGCUAGUGGGUGGGGUAACGGCCCACCAAGGCGACGAUCCCUAGCUGGUCUGAGAGGAUGACCAGACACACUGGAACUGAGACACGGUCCAGACUCCUACGGGAGGCAGCAGUGGGGAAUAUUGGACAAUGGGCGCAAGCCUGAUGCAGCCAUGCCGCGUGUAUGAAGAAGGCCUUCGGGUUGUAAAGUACUUUCAGCGAGGAGGCGUUACUCGCAGAAGAAGCACCGGCUAACUCCGUGCCAGCAGCCGCGGUAAUUC
rnacentral:rRNA from 1 species